GCCAGUUUCCAUCACGGCCGCCAUCUCCCUCCCUCCCACCCCGUCACCUCAUCCCACCGUGUCAGAGCCGGGACUCCAGACUGUAUCACCGUCUCCCUUCACUGAUUCAGCACAGCCAGGGCUUCUGAUGCACCUGCAGACAAAAAGAAGAAUUCGAAGAAUAACCAGGCUGCCGGACGUCGGGUGCUCAUGAGUUUAUAACAAGAUGACCAGACACCCCAUGAGGAGACUAUCAGGCCUCUGAGAGAGGAGACGCAAAGGAUGGAUGCCAGGGGGGCUGUCAUGGAGAGAAGAGACACAAGCCCAGAGAGGCUGCGCUCCUUGCUCAAGGUUGCACAGGAGUUGGUAAGAACACAGAUAUCCUGCCUACCAGUGUUUUUGUUCUUGGCUUGAACCUGGCAGAUCGAGAGACUUCUGAGCCUCCAUGGUUUCAAGAUCCAAUUUUUCUCCAUCCCUCGCUCCUCACCACGAGACAUUGGAUAAAAUGGAGAAAGUGCGCUAAGCAUAUGUUUUCAUUUACUCAUCACUUUCCGAUUGUGAAUGAGAUGUGACUCUUUCUCAGAAGUGGCCUCCUCCAAGUGGUAGGGACAAAGGUUCCUUGCCUAAGGAAAGGAUGACCCCUUCUGAGACAGUUGCUAUACUUCUAGACCUGUAACUAGAUUCAAGUCCCUAUAAAGCCGGGGUACACAACGUGAUGCACAGGGAUGGGAACACGCUGUAUGUACUUCAGAACAACGGCUUAUGUUUUCUAAUCAAGCAGAAAUCUGAGCAAUUGGGGCACAUGGGUCAUAGAGUUUCAUCAGGCAAAAUGCAUUGAUAUGGGCUCACCAAGCCAAGAGCCUGCAGCUAAUGCUCCCACUUAGCUAGUUGGGAGGAGUUCCAGCGGUCUGGUUGGUUAGUUGGUUGGCUGAAAUGUGGAUCAAAAGACCUAAAAUGCAACAAUCUCUUCUUAAGAACGAUCCCUUAUCCAGGGAGUAAAUGGUUCAAGUAGUGACUAUCCUGAGUCUUAAUUUUUUACAACUUAAAUACUAUGGUGUAAUGCCAACAUUACUCAAAUGCUGAUACAAAGUUAGCCAUCGUCUGCUACAUUUGAGUGUUUCUGAGAGAGAUGGGUACUGUCAGUAGACUGAGGAAGGAUCUGCCCUCAUCCACAUGGUGAGAAACUCAGCCUUUAAGGGCUGAACAGGACAAGAGGCGGGUGAAGAUGCGUUUGUUCCCUGAACGGGCAUAACCAACCUUUGUCCUUGGUCAUUGAGGCUCCACCCCCAUCUUCAGACCUUGAGAGCAAAACUACACAGUUCACUGGUUUUGUUACAAAACAUUGACUGACGUAAGACCCAUCCUGUGAAUUCAACACAAGCGUUUCUAAGUCUCCAACAAUAAGACACAAAUUUUGUCUAUGUUGGAGGGAUGGCUCUGCUCAUCUAGAAAAGGUCAGGGGGCAUGUGAUCGAGCCGCCAAAGAGAUGAUGGAGCCAAAAUGUAGGAAAGAAUACUGCAAAGAGUGUGUUGGCAAGUUGAUUUAUGAAAUUACUAUUUUCCUUGUUUGUUUCUUGGGUGUAUGCCAUCUUUCGAAAAGGAUGAGUUGACGAGAUUUCUAAAACUGGAGAGGCAAUUUAAACGGACCUCCACCUUUCAAGCCUAGCUGUGGUAUUUGUCUUUUCGUGUUCUUUUUCUCCUUUGUAGUGGUUUUAGGCCCCCAAAGGCUUGAAUAUAUCUUGGCAAAUGUGAUGGUUAGUAUCAGUUGUCAACCUGACAGAAUCUACAGUCACCUAGGAGACCAGCCUCGGGCACACCUGUGAGGGAUUAUCUGGUUUAAGAUUAGCCUCUAAGAAAGAAAGUCUGCGAGGGAUUGUCUUGAUUAUAUUAAUUGAUGUGGAAAGAGCCAUUUUCACUGUGGAAGGGACUAUUCCCUGGGCGCGGAUCCUGGACUGUGUAAAAUGGAGAUAGAGACCUGAGCACACACAGUCGUUUGCUCUCUGCUUCCUGACGGAGAAUGAGACGUGGCCGACUGCUUCGAGCUCCUGCUACCUCAACUUAACCUUCUCCAAAGUGCGCCCCCCAAAAUGGCAGUGCCAUUGACAAUGUCCUAAAUCACAGUCUGGUCUCAGCUCAGGCUGGACUCUUAACAGAAGGAUUGCUGGUGGAUAAAAUCAGCAUUCCUCAGAAAAUUGUGAGGCUGGUGUCUGUCUGUCAGGAAGAGCCACCACUUCCUUUAUCUGCUUCUGCAGCCUGCUACCUCCAGCAAUGGGGCAUCUGGUUCCCCAUUAACACAGACCUGUAACACGUAUCGAAGUCGAUAGGUCCCAAGCUGUUCCCACUUGCACACUUCCUCCCACUGUUAACCGCUCCCCAUAAAACUGACAAGGUUUUCCCUACCAGUUUGCUGUUCUCUUUGCCCCCAAGAGAUCGCCAUGGCAGCUUGAAGUUCCUCCAAUAAACCUUUCUUUCUACCCAUGGAGUGGUCCAGUUCAGGGGUUUCUCAGUGCCCUUUUCUUCCCCUUGAACUGUUGAAAUAGACUAAAACUUUUCCCCUUUAAGUUUUAUCACAGCUCCAGGAGAAAAACAAGGCUAAGACCGUGCUGUUGACGUUUGUCUGUGAGGAUGGAGGAGGUUGCCUUGAGAUUUCCCCAAGGCCUUGAGUGAGGAGGCAGAGCCCAGCAGAACUUUCGGAAGGUAGAACUUUGGUGAGUUGGGAUCCCAAGGUCCUUAGCUAUCUGGAUAUGGGUCUGCUUGUGUCAAUGCAGGAGAGCACCCAGAGGGGAAAGCACCUUAGCAUUAUGCCCACCGGACAUUCCUAUCAGUGAGUAUUACUUUAACGUCACGACUCCUAUAAGAAUGUGAGCUUCAUGAAAACAUAAGCCAUGUUGGCAUAGCUCACCAUGUAUUCUAGAGCUCAACACAGGGCCUGGGCACACAGCUCUGCCUAGUAGACCUAUGCCACCCUCCUCCCCCAGUGACCUGAAUGAGUUCAGCAUCCUCACCCUACCCAGCACCCAUGUUUUCCAGUAUUUGUGUAUUUGUGGGGGGUCAAGGGGAGCAGGCUCUCUGACCUCUUUUCCAUGCUUGGUUCAAGGACCCCUGCUUUGGCUGCUUUCCGCCAUCACAGUCCUCCUUGACAGAGGUCCUAUCCUAGAAAAGAAGUCUCUCUGUCUGUCUCUCUCUCCCUGUCUCUGUUUCUCUCUCUGUGUCUCUCUGUCAGUCUGUCUGUCUGUCUGUCUGUCUCUCUCUCUCUCUCUCUCUCUCUCUCUCUGUGUCUUACCUUGAGUUGGGUCUUCCUACGCUGUUAAGGUUGGCCCCAAACUCUCGUACAUGAGCAAUUUUUCUGUCUCAGCCUCUUGAGUAGUGGGACCUCCACAUGCACCUCCACAUGCAGCUCUGUAAAUUAUUUAUUUGUUGGUUUGUUUGUUUGUUUUGAGGCAGGGUCUCACUAUGCAGCCCUAGAUAGCCUGAAACUCUCUCUGUAGACCAGGCUUGCCUCCAACUCACAAAGAUUCCCCUUUGCUUCUGCCUCUCGGGCACUGGGCAGUUGGCUCUUUGUUUUUAAAUGAUCACACACCAGUAGUUUAUUAUUAUUAUUAUUAUUAUUAUUAUUAUUAUUAUUAUUAUUAUUGUAAAAAAGAACUAAAUUUCUAAACUCAAAGCAACUUAUGUCUUAUGAGUUGCAGUAAAAUUUUACUAGAACAACAAAGACACUUAUUUCAAAAGCUUUUUUUUUAUUUUUAUUUUUUUACAUUUCUAUAAUUGUUAGGAAGAGAAGGGACAUGCUAAUUGAUGCAGCCCAGCUCCCCCUCAGGGUCCAGUUCUAGUUCAAAGAACACUGACUGUUUCAGUGUAUAUGACCAGCAGGGUGGGUCCGGGUGUCGGAUGAGGUUAUGGAAGGUUUAAACCAAAACAGGACUCUACCACUCCUGCCAGAAAAAAAUAAAUAAAUAAAAAUAAAUAAAAAACCCCAACCUCAGUCUCUACCACUCCUGCCAGAAAGAAAGAAAAAAAAAUCCCAAUAGAUUUUUCCGUUAAGUUAUUAAGGGAGGUAGCCUGUCCGCCCACCGUGGUGGUGUGGAAAGAAGACAUGCACGUUAGUUUACCCCUUCCUUUUGCUGUUCUCUCAAUGAUGUUGGACAGCGAAGGCUUUUACAGCAGGCGUGAUUUGCACACACACCCAAGAUACACUCGGGGAUGAGGGAUGGCUCAGAAGGGUGAGCGCACACAUCGCCAGUCCAACACUCACCAAGUAGCCAAGGUUUUCCUUGAGCUCUUGAUCCCACUCCCAAGUGCUGCUGAGAUUAGAGGUGUGUGCCGCCCCACCUGGCUUAAAAUGAUUCCUUUAAAAAGUUAGAUUCUAAUGAUUUAUGCUGUUAACUAAAAUGAUGUUUCUAUUUCUCUAAGUAUAUAUUUAAUGUUGUAUAAUAUGUUUUGGUUUGGUUUGGUUUUUUGUUUUUGUUUUUUCAAGACAGGGUUUCUUUGUGUAGCUUUGGAGCCUGUCCUGAAACUCUCUCUAUAGACCAGGCUGGCCUCGAACUUAUAGAGAUCUGCCUGCUUCUGCCUCCCGAGUGCUGGGAUUAAAGGUGUGCGCCACCACCGCCCGACUGGUCAUUAUUUUUUGAAGUUAAAAUAAGCUAAAAGUUUCAUUUCACUAAUUUUGAGCUGUAUUAAUAAUUUUAUCUCUGUAUUUUGGUACUCCACGUAAACAAAGUACAUCAUGUGUGGUCACCACAGUGUUGAAAACAACCCCCUUCUUCAGCAGAAGACACAGUCCCUGCUCAGAGGAGUGCACGUGGCUUAGCCCAGCGGUCUCCUGUAGCUCAGGAUACGUGGCUGAGGAAGACAGUGAAUUACUGACCUUCCUAUAUGUACCUCCCCGGUGCCAGGAUUAUACUCUUGCACUGCUGGGUCUGGUUUUCAUGCAGUACUGAGAUCAAACCCAAGAUACUGCGCAUGCAACACAAGGACUCUACCCAUUGAGCUACAUUCCCAGUCUGGAUGCAGUUCUUUCUACACUGUUUCUAGAGCAAGUGUCCCUACCCCCACGCUGCUUCUGGUCCCUGUGACUCGGGACAACCAGCCCUGUUUCUCUCUGUCUUCCUGACUACAUCCCUAAUGUAGGACCUCAAGGGCAGGUCCCUCUACUCUUAAGGGUGAUGAGUUAUGGGGCUUAGUACCUGCUCUUCUGUCAAUACCCAGGGACCUUAGAAUGGGGAGAAACGGGAGCUGAGAGUCAGUUAAGUCUUCCACAAAUGGGCCAGCUGCAGGUCAGGGUGGUUUCAGCUCCCUGUCCCCUGGUACCACAUGCUUGCUUGUUAGUACUGAAUCAGGACCAUGUUCUCACCCAUCUGGUUACUGUUGCAGGGAGUGAGUGAGUCCAUUACUCCCUGCCCAGCCCCUGGGUGGUAUCAAGUGUCACAUGUGGCUUCCCAGCUUACAGGACUUUCCCAGAGUGACCCCAGAGCUAGUCCUGGUGACCCAGCAGCCCCAUGGCUUCCCCCUGGAUCUGACUCACUCAUAAACACCCCCACCCUCUAAUUCUGCAAGCAGAGGGCCCCAUUCCUGGGAAGGCCCCCUGUUGCUGGCUAUUCUUGUAAUUAGUGACUGUUGAUUGGCCCCAGAGCCACACUCAUUAUUCCUAGUGAAGAUCAAAGCCAGGCCCAAUAAUCUGCUAAACAAGUUGUCAGAUUAGGGCAUUCUUCGGGGCUAUUAGAAAGAUUUUUCCCCCUGGGUAAAGGCCUGUCAGGGCAUAUGACCCCCAUCACCGACCACAAACUGAGCUAGAGGGGACAUUACGGCCUUUCUGCUCUUCUUCACUUGCUUGUGGCCAUUUUAUGGUCUGGUCCUAUGGCAGGGACUCCAACGUGAUCCCCUGGAAGGCCGCAAAGUAGAGAGGGCUUCCUCCCCGACAAGAAAGCCAUGUUUGAGCAGAGCUGUUUAUAACUCUUCAUCUUUGGGGCUACUGGAGACUCCCCUGGGCCCUUGUGCCUUACCUGUAUGACAGAUGCACAGCCUAAGUUUAUACUUAAAGACUGAGGAUCACAUUCUAUGCUGAUUUCCCAUCUUUCAGGGGCCAGCCCCAGACUGAUUUGUGUCCUAAUUAACAUUCGGUUCAAAUCUCCGGCCAUGGCCCAACUUUCUCACUUCAGGAGUGGGAACAGAGGCCCAGUCUUUAGCGUCAGUGCUCAAAGCUGCUGUUGGUUAAAUCGGAGCAUGCCGGGCACUGUGUUAAGAGACUAAAUGUUGAUCUUAUCUAUAUUGUCUGAACACAUCACACAUGAGACAUUGGAAACAUCCUCUUUAAUAUGUAAGGAGAGUGAGGCCAAAUAAUUUAGCCAAGCCACUCAACUUAGUGGUAGCUCUAGGGGUGGUUCCCAAUUGGCUGGACUCAGUCUUGGCUUGGAUCCAGGUCCAUGACCAGAUGUUGGCUAAUGAGAAAGUACUAGUCACAAGACUUGCAAGGGAGGCAUUUGGAGAUUUCUUUUGUCUUAGGUGGUUUGGUUGGAGGAUGGGGAAUCAGAUCUGCUGAAGCCAUUUUUCUCACACCAUCGAAGCUGCAGCUCUCGGAGGGAGGUGCAAUAUAGGACCAUGUGCAGCCAACAUCUUGGGUCUUUGGAACCAUAGUGUGAGCUGGGCUAAAUGCACACACACACACUGCCUCUAUUGUUUAAGCUUGUUUGAGUUGGGUUUUCCAGGAUUUUCAGAUGAACACCUAACACCCACACUACUGGUGAUAUUCCCAGAAGAGCCAGAUCUGCCCAUUGUUCUGCCCUUUAAGAGGGAUCAUGGGAAAGGCCAACAGGGAAGCUAGGAGGCCAUUAAAAGCAAGCAUGGCAGGCAGCCAUAUUCGAUGGUUGCCACUUGUUCCACUGACUGUUCAAGGGGCUGCUUCAGCCUGGUCACAGGAUGGCCUCACCUGUUCCCUCUAUAACCACUUUGCCUGACCACCCCAGGUCCAGGCUCUGUCCACCGCUCUCCAUAGUCUCCGAUCCUGCCUGACCCAGUCCAGUUCUGCCCUAGGCCCUAGCACUGGUUAGGAUUAGGGUUGACUGCGGCAAACAAUGUUCAAAGCAAUAGUGAUAUGAACAAGACAGAAGACCAUUUCUGCAUAAAAGAUGUUCAAAAAAAUCUUUAAAAUCACAUUAUUUAUGUGUAUGUAUGUGUGUGUGUGUGCAUGCACACGUGUACACCACUAUAUGUAUGUGAGUAUCAGAAUACAACUUAUGGGAGUCUGUUCUCUCCUUUCACUACGUGGAUCCUGGGGUUCAAACUCAGGUUGUCAGACUUGGCAGUAAGUAUCUUUACCCAUGGAGCCAUCUUCCCAGCUCCCGGUACUCUCUUUUUAGCAGUUUUUAGGGAUAGGGUCUUCCUAUGUAGCUCAGGAUGGCCUUGAACUCACCAUGUUUCUGCCUCAGCUUCCUGAAGGCUGGGAAUCACAGAAAUGUGUUACCACUCCCAGUUCCACAAAACAGUUCUGAAGGCGAAGGACCAGGGCUGCUACAGCAGUGAAGCUCUACAAAUCGUCGUUUGUACCUUUACUCCUUUGACAUUGAUCCUGCUUGCCAGAGACUCGUGUACUUUGUUUCUGUUUUUGUUUGUUUGUUUUUUUAUGACAGGAUCUCAUGUAGCCAGGCUGGUCUUAAAAUCACUUAUCUUCUUGCCUUAACCUCAUGAGUCCCAGGAUCACGGGCAUGAGCCACGAUGCCUGAUUCUAUUUCACCAUCUUUUGAAGAAUUAGCUUUUUAGUUUUGCUGAUAUUUGUUAUGCUCAUUUUCUAGUCCACUAAUCACUGUACUCUUUUUUUUUCUAGUACUUCUUUUCUUCUACAUUAUUUAAAUGUUUUUCUGAUUUAUACAUAGUGCACAGUGAAGUUUUACAAAUAGUCCAGGAGAAAAAUGUGGGUUACAGAUGGUCAAUUUCCUUGCUCCAUUACAUAUGAUUCUUCUACAUUUUUAAAUACACUUUUCACCAUGAAGUAGGUUUUAUCUGAUAUUGGUAUCACUCUUUGUGCUGAUCAGUGCUAAUUGUCAUCUUGACAGAGUCUAAGGUCACGUUGGAAGUGGGCCUUUGGGUGUGCCUGUUGGGGAUUAUUCCAGAUUGGGAUGUUGGACCGUAUGAAAUGGAGAGGGUGAGCUGAGCCUAGCCAAGUAUUCAUUGCUAUUUCGUGACUGUAGAAGUGAUGUGACAGCUGCUUCAAGUUCCCGUUGCCUUGACUUCCCCACCCCAGUGGGCUGUAUCUUGAGCUGUGAGUUAAGAGUGAAGCUUGACUCCUUUUCAGUUGCUUUUGUCAGAAUAUUCUAUCACAGCCGCAAGGAAAGAACCCAGGCAGUGUGCCGGCUUCCCUUCACUUAUCAUGAUACAACUAUUUCACCGUUUUUUUCUUCACCCCUCUGGGGGCCAUGUAUUUUCAUGAAUCUCUUGUAAACAGUGUUACAGGGAGAUCUGAAACCUUCAGUUUGAACAUCUCUGUCUAGAUUGACUGUUAUAGUCACCAUGGUAUCUAUUCUAUUUGGUUAUCUGGGAGGAUCUUAAGUGCUGUAUGGCAAAUGUGUUGCUCUGAUUGGUCAAUAAAUAAAACACUGAUUGGCCAUUGGCUAGGCAGGAAGUGUAGGCGGGACAAGGAGGAGAAUAGAGCUGGGAAGUGGAAGGCUGAGUCAGAGAGACAUCACCAGCCGCCACGAUGACAAACAGCAUGUGCAGAUGCCGGUAAGCCACGAGCCAUGUGGCAAGGUAUAGAUUAAUGGAAAUGGAUUAAUUUAAGCUGUAAGAACAGUUAGCAAGAAGCCUGCCACGGCCAUACAGUUUGUAACCAAUAUAAGUCUCUGUGUUUACUUGGCAGGUGAGAGAGAUUUGCCCUGACUGUGGGCCAGGCAGGAAAACUCUAGCUACAGUGCAUCUUGGUUUUUUGUUUGUUUGUUUGUUUGUUUUUAGGACAGUCUUGCUGGGUAUAGAAUUCUCGGUUGAUAGCCCCUUGCAUAGGCCCUUUUUUUUUUUGGUUUUUCGAGACAGGGUUUCUCUGUGUAGCUUUGCGCCUUUCCUGGAACUCACUUGGUAGUCCAGGCUGGCCUCGAACUCACAGAGAUCCGCCUGGCUCUGCCUCCCGAGUGCUGGGAUUAAAGGCGUGCGCCACCACCGCCCGGCGCAUAGGCCCUUUUUGCUUUCAAGAGUCUGUCUCUCAACAGUCUCUGGGGAUAGGUGGCACAACAUAGUGACUCUGGAACUCAGUUCAGCCUCUUCUUGGAGAAUUCAUUGGUUGGAGCUGCCGUUUGUUGAGUUGACUUUGUUGACGUCAUUGUAUGAAGUCUAUGUCCCCUGUAGUAUGCAGUCAUAGAAAGUCUCUGGUCAGUCUAGUGAUUGUUUAGACAUUUCCCACCCCUGUAUACACAAAAUAAGUAAAUGUAAAGUACUAAAGGUACAGUUAGGACCACCUUCUUCCUCUUAUAUCUCUCUCUGUCCCCAUAGACAGUGUUCUCAAGUCAAUUGAUAUCUUUUAUGUUCAUGCGCUAGGUCACUUUCUACAAAAACAACAGGUAUCCUGGAUGGUACUGGUGCAUACCUUUAAUCCCAGCACUCAGGAGGCAGAGGCAGAUGGAUCUCUAUGAGUUCCAGGACAGCCAGAGCUGUUACACAGAGAAACUGUCUCAAAAAAACUAAAGCAAGCAAGUAAACAAACAAAAAACCUAGGCCAUUUUGUGUGUUUCAAAAUGCAUACUAAUUGUAUCAUUGUAAUUAUGUUUCUGCAAUUUUUGUGUUGUUGACCAAAAUGUCUUCCAUGUAGCUCCAUUAAGCUCUAAUAUAUUCAUUUUGCACUAUGCAGAGCCGAAUUAAUCAGUCUUUCCCAUUGUUGUAACAACAUCUCUAAAGUCUGGGGAAGAAAUUUAUUUAGCUCGCAGUUCUUGGGGUUUGAGGGCACAAUGCUGGCGUCCACUCACCUGGGAUCAAGGCUGUUUCUGUGUGGAAUUACGGUAAACCUCUCCUUGCUCUGAAGCACAAACUUCCUUCAGGGCUGCUGAGUCCGGCAGAUAUUUUAGGGGGGGAUGGGGUAGGAGAAUGAGACAAAGUUUCUUUUCAUAGCCCAGGCUGUUCUGCAACUCUCUAUGUAGACCAGGCUAGCCUCAAACUCACAGAGAUCUGCUUGCCUCUGACUGAGUGCUGGGAUUAAAGGCACGUGUCAUAUGCUAGGCUUCGGGUAGGCAUUUUUGUGGGAAGUGAUCAUCUGAGAUUUGUGAUAGUUUGGACAGAGGCAGUGGAGAAUUUGGCCUUUUCUUUGUGAAAGUACAAAAGAUACUCAUACACACAAAAUGAAUACAGAAAAUAAGUUUUAAAAAGAAGAUAUUCAAAGAAGACACCGAAAAGCUCCUGGGAGGCACACCCAUCCACACAUCAACGCCUUUGCAGUUUGUAGCUUGUUCUUAGCUGGUCUCUGAGGCAGUUUUCAUGGUGCCUCUCUUGCUCACACCUGGUCCCUAUUACUGUAUCUGCCUGAAAGUAAUAAAGCUGCCUUUCUCCAAAAGCUCUGUGACGAGCAGGAAUUCACUGUGGCCUGGCCUUAGGUUGUCCAGACCAGCUUGCCUGACAGUUUCAUGGGCUCCCCAUUAUCUAUAGCCCUGCAGGGAGGCACAUUCUGUCCAGACAGAAGCAAUCCAUGGGCCUAUCAACUGAACGUGGGGUUAGGAGUCAGUGUAUAACUACGUCCAGACAGAAGCAAUCUGUGGACCUAUCAACUGAACAUGGGGUUAGGAGCCAGUGUGUACCUCCCUAGGCAGACACAUCUAUUUCGCCCACUUAGUGGCAACCUGUCAUCUGUCCCCAGGAAGCAAGUAUAUUCACACUGGGCACAAGUGAAAGUGUCCACAAUUGCCCAGGACCCUAGGUAAAAGCCCCACUCCUUAGUUCAUAUAGGAGGCCUGGAAGGAUCUUGGAGUUUGGGAUCCUUGGGGGCAUGUGAGACUUUCAUGGAGAGUGUGUGUUUCUUUUCUUCUGACUGACAGGUGGAGAGGGAUCUGCCUCUACCUUAAAAAAAAAGAUGACAUUUCAUGUGGCCUAGGCUGGCUUUAAAUUCACUAUGUAGUUAAGGAUGACUUUGAACUUUGAACUCUGAUCCUCCUGCCUCCACUUCCCUGAGAUGGACACGCUUUUACUCCCCCAUCCCAACCCCCAGAACUUGGACUCCUUGUUGGUCAGAAUCCAAGUCUGCUGGUACCGGGUUCUCCUCUGCGCUGCUCUGGACCCUUCCGUCAUCCGCUCCUUCUCCAGCUGUGUCUGUGGUGGCACCGAGGUCCCUUGUUUUCCCUUGGGUAUCAGGGAGACCUCCAUUUCCCUGCAGCUGUGUGGUGUGAUGCUCCCUGACAGCAGGCCUGUGUGCCUGAUCCUGACAUAGUGGUUGUUAGCAUUAGGUUUAGCUGUGUUCAGAGGCCGAAUAUCAGGAAACAGGCCUUCCUGAAAGGGCCUCCCCCAGUCAGACUGGUACCCUGAGUCGCCAGGCCACUUCCCUUAGGCCAGUAUUUCUGCAGUUGUCCAACCUGGUCUCCCUUGCUGAUCUGCCUGUCCCUCUCCAUUCCCUGGUUCCUUUAAGAUGGCCGAGCCGUACUCCUGACCUCCCAGGGAUCCUCCCUCCUUAACGGAAACAGGUACAUGGAGGCCAACACUCUCCCUCUCCUGCCUCUGCCCUGGCGUCAAAGAUAGAAAGGGCAGGAAGGUGGAGGGAGAGAGACCGGAGAAAAAUAAGAAGAUAGAUGAAAGGCGGAGAAGGAAGGGAGACAGGAGGGAAAGAGGGGGGGGAGCAGAAGAGUAAGAAGGAGAAAAAGAAAGGGAGGAAAGCCGCCAGUCCUUCCCAGGGCUACCACGUCUGUUUCUGUGAGGGCCAGCACACGCCAGGCCCACAGUGAGUGUGCCACACAAUGUGUGUCCUGUGCCCACCGAUCUGACCUGCCUGUUCGUUUCCUAGCGGGAGCAGGAAACCCGCCUGCCACACCGGCUUCCCCUAGCUUGGCUGGUCUCGGGGCCCACACCCUGCCUGAGAGGUAAACAGCAAUCUCACCAAGACAAAAUGUGGAUUGCUCCGCCCCGGGCUUGGAUUCACUUCUAGGUCUGGGAACAGACAAGAUUCCCAUCAAGAGCUCUGUCUAGGAGAGAAGAGAGUGAAGAGGUUUAACCUGAACAGCAGAUCUGCUGCCUGGAAACACAAACAAAUAAUGAGUGUGUUAAUGACUAACGAGGAGAGGUUUACAGGCUUUGAACACUUGUCAGUCAGCUUUGGAAUCUCUCCAAGGCCUGUGAGAUAAGACAAGCGUUCUUCCUGUCCCGAAUCUUAGGGAGGUAAGCAGGAAUGGAGGACGUUCGGGGAAGUAUCCAACUUUACACUCAUGCUCACUGCCCAGUGAGAAUCCCCUCCUCCUGAGCAGGACUGCCGUUGAGUGCCUUGCCCACUCAUUCCGGGUGGCCCUGGGCAACUAACAAAGCUGGCCAUGGUUUGACAUGUCUGCUUACUCUCUUCAUACUCCAGGAUGGCCCUAACAGUUUGACUGCACUCAGGUCCCAGAUGGUUCCUCACACUGGCUCUAGACAGGUCUCAAGGCCUGAAAGUCAUCCUGCUGGUGAUUGGGGACAGGGCAGGAGCAAUGGCCUUGGAAAAAGAGCACCCCGGGGAACUCCAGAUUAAGUCCUCUGCUUGUGAUCCACAUUUCCUUCAGUUAUAAAAGGGGCGGGGGCAGCCACAAGAGGAAUGAUAGUCUUGAUUUCUGAGCUGGGCGUGGUGCUCAAUCAUAUAAGUGGUGUAGGAAUUGUACGUGGCGGGACCCCCAAAAGCGGCAAUGGGGUGGCGGGCGGCCCAGUCCAUGCCGGCAUGACAGUGGGGGCGGCAGGUGGAGAUACACAACCCAGACGCUGCAUCCGUGUGGAAAUGAUUUAUUAUAGUAGAGAGAUGAAGAAGGAGAGAGAGAGACAGAGACAGAGGCAAGGGGUUCGAGAGGUGCACACCUGUGGGAGAAAAGCUAAAGAGAAGAAGGGAAGGGGCUGAGUUUCCCUUAAGAACAGGACAUAGGGUGGCGCCAAGGGGCAGGAUCAGAAUAUUAACAAGCACGGCACUUGGAAGGCUGAGAGGCUGAGGCAGGAGAAUUGCUACAAGUUUGAGACUAGCCUGUGCUACAGGGUGAAUCUCAGAGGAGCCUAAAAUGCAGAGUGAGGCCUUGCCACAAACAAACAAACAAACAAAAAAUGAAAUCAAAACAAGACACCCCUCCCCCAAAGCCCCUGGUCAUCCCCACCACCAUCCCUGUGGUCUUAGUUUCUCAGGCCUCCUGUGAGUCAGCAAGCCUCCAGAGCAUCCUUCAUCUGUGCGGCCACCAGGGAGAGACUGUGCAGGGGAGGGGAGGGCUGAGACAAAAGCACAGGACAAAGGGGCUAGAAGCGGGGUGUGUGUGUGGCUUCUAGCAUGUUCUCCAACCGGAUGUUUGUGAAUACACCUUCAGCCCUUUCCGUUUUCACUGUUCUGUACACUUAACCCAAGAUGGCCCCGGCCAGUCUUCCAGGUAAGGGAGCUGAAGCCUCGGGGAAGGGGCAGGAGUGGGUGCUCCGUCUGCCCUGGGUGCUGGUGGAUACACCCCACGGGGGCUGUGUUGUUAUACUCACUGGCUGCUAAGGGGGCCUGGGGCUCAGACAAAGAGUCGUUAGCAUGAGGCCACACAGAGCAGAUUUUUGUGGUCAGGUGUGUCUGUCUCAGCCCCACCGUCUGGAAGUUGUGGGACCUCUCACUGACUGAGUAAAGGUGCUUGCCACCAAGCCCGACGGUCUGAGUUCAAUUCCCGGACCCAUGUGGUGGGAAGGAGAGAACCUGACCUCCACGUGUGCACUGUGGUAUCUCUCUCCCUAGAAAUUAAUGAAUUGGAAAGUAAAAAUCAAAAACAACCUUACUGUAGUUCUGUUCCACCUGGGGACAGGACCAGUGUGGCCUGUUUGUUUCUGGACUCCCAGGACCAGGGUGCUUUGGCCCAUACACCCUUUGUUCUGCUCAAUGGCAUCAGAGGACACUGAAUUGGGGGACAAUGGCUGUGGCCCCCAGGGAACAGCUCCCAUCAACUGAGUGCAUCAACCCUCACACCGCCUCUGCUAUCCUCCGCUGCUCCAGACGGGCACAGCGGAUGCUCCUGUAGGCGCCCUUGGCUCUGUCACUUACUUGGGAGGCUGGGUCUCUCUGGAGCAGGCCUCGGUGGGGCUGCUGAUCUCGUGGUGGGUGUCAUGCUUGGUGCUCCCACUUUUUUGUGUGUCUGGCCCUGGACAAAGGGAUGUAGCUGGUCCACAGGUCAAUGCGGGGCUCUUGACUCUCUGCCUCCUGGAGCUCUGGCCUCUUAGUGCUAAGUAAGCGUGAAGCUUGGCAGGAAGCAUGGCCAGAUCAAUCUUUGUUAGCCCCACUAAACUGUUGGUUUGGUGGUUUUGAUUUUUAUUGUUGUUAUUAUUAUUGUUUUGCCUUUUUAUUUAUGUAUGUAUUAAGACAGGAUCUCACUGCGUAGCCCAGGCUGGCCUGGAACACAUUAUCCUCUUUCCUAAGCCAUGUUGGGAUUACAAGCCUACACCACCAUGCUUGACUGACCACCAAGGUUUUCUUUCUCCUGCUCCCCAACUUUCCCACUUUCCUGCUUCCGGGGAGCCUUUGCUACACUGAUCCCCCCUGGAGGGGACUCCUGAUUGCCUCUGGGCCAGCCCCUGCUCAGACCUCAGAUCUCAGUUUUGAAUCAGGCACUUCCACAGCCAGACCAGGGCCCUUUCCUGUUCCACUCCUGGUGUCCUGACCGUCGGAGUUCAGACAGCCGCAUCCCUAGUCCCUCACAUCUCUCUGGUUUCUCCUACCACCCACAAGGUGGAUGUUAAGUAUGGCUUCUUUGCAUUAGCACCUAGGCAGAGGGUCCAUCAGAGGGGCAGCGCUAUUUACAACUUUGGAAAAGACGGAGAUGGAGUGGGGGUGGGGCAGGUCACCGGGUCACCAGGUGCCCUCUGGGAGCUGUGGGCUGGGAGAUUUAGCCAACCCCGAGGUCGGGACUCUCUUGCCAGGACAGCUUUGCUCUCCCCGGUGGUUUUCAUUAUUUUUCAUUCCCAGACUAUUUUGGAAGCUGGCUGCCAUGGGAACUGAGUCUUUGGAAGGCCCAGGCCUCUUUUUCCUCUUCCCCCCAACCCCCCUUCCAUCUCUAUUCCUUCUUAAUUGGUUUUUAGUUCCCUGGCUUUCAGGCCGUCUGUUUAUUUUGAUUGCAACUCCACAGAACAAAUCUUUAAUGAACCAGCUUGUGGGGAGAGCCAUUAGCAGCCGCCUGCCUCCAGGGAGUAGGGGAGGCGCCUGGCCUGGGUCCCAGCCUGGACUUCCACUCAGUGAGGCAGCGGUGGCCAGGUACUGGGUGGCAGCCUGUGCAGGGGCCCAGGCUUCCUUCAGGUAUAGUCUGGAGAUGGGAACAGUUUGCCCUCCAUAAGCGUCAGCAGCAUUCACUGAGAUGACCUCAAUUGUUCUCUGAAACAGAACGGAGGGGUUGGGCUUCCCAGUUCCCCUGAGUCAUCCCAGGAACCCCAAAGGGGUAUAUUCUAAGCACCUCACUGUCCAGAAAGAGGAGUAAGGUUGAAGAACUGAGAAUCCUGUUAUCUGGCCAGCAAAGCUUGGUGGAAAGCACAGGUAAAUGGAAUAACCUCCUGAAUGUCACUGAACUGGCAACCAAUGGUCCAAACAGGACUCGGCAGGCCCCAGCCUUCUGGAGCGAAUGCCUUUGUCUGUGCUGUCUGGGCCUGACACCUUUUAUGGGUUUACUCCACUGCCUGGGUACUAUCACUUCUGUCCAGAGAGUUCUGCAAACAGGAAACACAUACAAAUGUGUGUUGCUGUUAAUGUGGGUGUGGAGUACAGAGUGAUCCCCGAAAGCUUCCUCACCUUGGACGGGACGAGCCCUGUCUUCAGUCGACCUCACAGGCCUGAUCAGCUGUCUGUUUCUCACUGACCUCAUUCUGCCCAUGCCACUCAUCUCAGGAGCAGAGACCCGGGGGUCACAGGGACAGGGAGCUCCCUUCCUUUAAGAUCAGGCCCCUGGACCUUCAGACUUGGGACUGCCUCUCUGAGAAACUCUGGCACCCUGAGAAACUUCAGCCUGUGCUCCAUGCCUGCCUUCUGUCCAAGAGGUCUUCUUUUCCUGCUUUAGACCAUGAACCCAUGCAAUUCCCUUGAACAGGAGACUCCCCUGCCUGCCUGCCUUCUCUGGUCCACAAGAGCCAUGGAUCCUCUCCUGCCUGGGAUCCUGUGCUUCCUAAGAGAGCAAGGAGGAAGACAAAAGCUGACCCUGGAGGACUACAGAGUGCCUGCUGACCCUGAGAACAGCUAACUAGGCAGGCCCUAGGAUGGACAUGUCUCUGGACCUCUGGUUACUUCUCAUCAUCCAUCUCCUUAUUUAAAUCACUGGCUCUUGAUUUUGUUUGUUUGUGUGUUGUCUGUUUGUUUUGGUUAAUUUUGUCUACCUGCCUUGCCUUGGGUUUUAUGGCUGUGCCAAGCUGUGCUUGUGCCAAGAAGAAAUAGGCAUUCAGGGCUACCAUGUAAUGAUUUGGAAGUCAUGUUUGGUUAAUUAAGCUCACGUUGUAGAAGCCUGGACGUAGGUGAUCUGGUUAGAUGUAACUGCUCUUACGAGUCACUAACAAUUAAGACUCCUGCUGUCCUUGACUUUGUUCUCAUGACCAUAAAUGGCCUCAUCACUGUCAGGCAUCACAUUUGAGUUCCAGGCCUGAAGAAUGGGAGAAGGGAGAACAGUUUACAUCAGCCAAAUCUGUACUUUUAUCAAGAAAACAUGACCUUUCCAAGAGUCCCGCCAUAAAAUUCUUUGUACUCCUGACUGGUCAGAAAUAGGUUGUGUCUUGGCUAGAAUUGGGGGGGGGGGGGAUUAGGCAGAGCAAUUUUGCAGAGGGUUUUAUUAAGAGAUGAGAGAGGGGAGAAAUGCAUACUGGAAAGAAGGAAUGGUCUUCCAUGACAGGAUUGGCAUCAGCAAGGCAUACAAGGCAGGAGUAAGCCCAGUGAGUAUGGCUUCCUUCUCCGAACAUCCAGAGGCUGCUCUGGGUCACCUUCUCCUCCCACAGACCCCUCAACAGUCAACCAUCAUGCCUGCGCUACAGCGUGAGUUUCUUGCCAGAAUCUCCCCGAGUGUGAAAGAUGCAGGCUGAUGCCCUCGUAUCCUGCCUCCCAGAUGAGGUUGCAAAGCACAUCUGCUCUGAUUCAUCCUCUGUGUGCACCCUCCGAGUUAGAAUAUCUCUGAUUCUUCUGCUGGUAGAAACUGUCAUCAUCUUUGGGGACAUCUCGUUCCCCAAGAUGACUCCGCUGUUCUGGACCUUCACUGCUCUAGGCUUUCAACUUGUCCCACUCAAACUCAUCAUUUGUCACGUGUCAAUCACUUCACAAUGAAAGGUCCCUGCAGGCUGACGGCACACCCUUGCAUCUGUACACUCAUGUCUUACACGCAGGGAAGAUGCUGGGUACGUGCCACGCCACUCUGGCAAUCGCCGUCUAGGUGCUGUGGGAGUGCCCUGGAAAUAUCAACAGAUUUCAAAAUACAGACUUGGGAAUUUGCUUGCUAUGAUUUGAAAAAUUCAAGGUCAAUAUUGAACCUCACUGGCCGGUAGACGACCUGCUCCUCCACGAUGGAUUUGCUGUGCUGUCCACCACAAUGUCCUCCGACAGUAAAGCAUCUUGGGACCUGCAGGGACUGAAAAAAACAAACAAACAAACAAACAAAACCCACUUGUUGAAGAUGACAUUGGACAGCACCCUGGAACAUCUCACUAUGACCGCAAUCUGACCUCUUGCCCUCCCCCAGACCCUGUACCACGGUCUGGAAGGAACUCUUCCCUUAGUCCUAACUCACAGAUCCUCACAUUUCUCAGAGGCCACCCAGUCCUCUCACUCUCUAGAGAUCGGGAUUCCAGGCUUGUCGCAACCAUGUCACCAAGAACUCUCGUGCUCUCACGAUGUGCUCUAUUCCCCCAUUGUCAGCGUUUCAAAGGGUCGACUACCACGCUCUAGAAACAAGAGAGGCCGGGGCGCUACACUCCUAGCAGCCCGGCCACGGAAGGAAGCAGGGGUAGGAAGGAGUCGGAUGUGGGAAAUGAACAGUGGGUCUGCUUGAUGCUAAAGUCCUGUGGUUUCACAUUCUAUCAUCUUCACGGCCCAAGUCCAACACGCGAGUUGCAGUGUGUGCACACCCAGAGAUGAUCCAUAUAGUAGGAGACCAUCCCAGGGACCAGUGAGCCCCUUCUGGAGGAUUCUCAGUCGUUACAUGGUUUUAUCUCUCCAUUGCUACCUCCCCUAAGACAGAGAAAUAGGCAAGAGGCCUCUGAGAAGAGGGUGUGAUUUCUGGAUCUGGGAAUGCUGGGAGGGAGCUAACCUCCUCUUGGAGGCAUUGCAGAUGUAGCCCUCAGCAUCUGUAACUCAUUUCCCUUAAAAAUGAACUUUACUGGGUAAGGAUGGGGUGGGAUGGAAAGAAAUGGCUGGCCGCAUGCCUCUGUAUUUUUGAAACUUUUAUUUUUUUUUAAUAUAGCAUGCAUUUAGUAUGAUGCACCAACUAUAAGAGUAGAUGUAGUUGAAUUAAGUUUCAUAAAAGGAACGAAUUUGCAUCUUACAUCCAGCUCAAGAAACAGGAUGUUGCCAGAGCCCCAGAAGCCCCCUUCCUGAGUCCUUCCAGUCCUUGUAUCUCUCUGCCUAGGGGAACCAUUACCUUGCACACAACAGUUUUGGCUGCCGGGUGCUUUACCCAAAUGAAACCAUAUGCUAUAGUCUUGCUUGUAACUGUUCAAAACUGUGUGGGUGAGAUUCUUCCAUGUCCUUGUGUGAGUUGUGGUUCCUACAUUCUUAUUGUUGUAUAGUGUUUCACUUUAUGGAUAUGUUGCAAUUUCCCUAUUUUACUCUGAUGGGCAUUUGAAUUUUUUUCUAGUUCUUAGCUAUGACAAAUGGUGCUGCCAUGAACGUUUGUAAGAUAUUUGUGUUGGGAAUGGAAUAACACUAACGGGGAAGGAAUCUAUUUAGUUUUGGUAGAUAAAGGUAAGAAGUUUCGGGGCUGGAGAGAUGGCUCAGCAGUUAAGAGCGCUGACUGUUCUUCCAGAGGACCCGGGUUUAAUUCCCAGCCCCCAUAUGGCAGCUCACAACUGUCUGUAACUCCAAGAUCUGAUAUAUAUGCGGGCAAAAUACCAGCGCACACAAAAAUAAAUAAUGUAAAAUAAGGUAGGAAGUUUCUAAGGCAGUUGCACUAACUUAUGUCCCAGCAGUAUGUAAGGACUCUAGUUGUUCCAGAUUCCUGUGGACACUUGGUAUUGUCGGUGCUUUUAUUUAGUCACUCAGUUUAGUAGUUGUGAAAGGGUAGCUCAUCAUGGCUUGGUUUUCACUUGUACUUCCUUCACAGGACUGUUGACCUUUGAACUGCCACCUCCAGGAAGGCAGAGAAAGGGUCAGAGGUCUCCGUGAAGGGGUGUGGCUUCUGGAUCUAAGAACGCUGGGGAUGUGCCACUUUGCUGCUUGAAGGCCAAACAGAAGGAGGGGGCCUGGGAGUGAGGGCUGCCAUGAUCCUGGGCCACAUCUGCAGAGAGGCCGUGGGUUGUCAGCCCAGGGGAGGCGUGGGCCUUGGUUCUGAUCCUUUCUAGUUUCCACAGCACUCUGGGCAGGGACGUCAACUUCUACCCGCGGCAAGUGGAAACAAUAAUGAGGACACAAUGAGGGUUCACUAAGUGGCAGGGAGUGUGAACAGUGUCUGGGCCAGAGGUAUGCAGAGAUCAGUCCUCCACACCGCUGGGCCCGAUGACUGACAGCUGACAGCGGUGGGGGAGGGGAAGCAGAACAAGGCCCGUCAAUCAAGCAGACACAACAGCAGAAUGCCCUGUGACUGGUGUGUCAUUUUCAUGCUGGGAACAUUGUCUUGAGAAAUGAUGAGUCUCACUGGUGAGGUAGCACCUGCCUGCCCGUGAUCCUAGCGUUCGGUAGGCAGAGGUAGGAGGAGUAACACAGGAUCAAGGGUAGCCUGGUCUGUAUAAUGAGUUUCAGGCCCGCCAGGGCUACAUACCAACACCCUGUCUCCAAAAGCAAAAUAGAACAGAAAAGAAAUAGCCAGUUUCAAGUUAGGCCUGAUGGCCCAGGCCUGUAGUUCCAGCUCCUUGUGAGGCUGAGGCAGAAGCAUCACAAAUGUAAGGUUUGACAGGUCUACAGAGUGAGUUCCAGGCAGUCUCAGCUUACCUCCAAAUCAAGAGGUAAAAAGAGAGUUGGGAUACAGCUCGGUGGUAGGGUGCUUGUCUGGUGUCUAUGAGGUCUUGAGUUUCAUCCUCAGGAAUGGGAAGAAAG